GAUGAACGCUGGCGGCGUGCCUAACACAUGCAAGUCGAGCGAUCUUCUUCGGAAGAGAGCGGCGGACGGGUGAGUAACGCGUGGGUAACCUGCCCUGUACACACGGAUAACAUACCGAAAGGUAUGCUAAUACGGGAUAACAUAUUUUUAUCACAUGGUAAAAAUAUCAAAGCUCCGGCGGUACAGGAUGGACCCGCGUCUGAUUAGCUAGUUGGUAAGGUAACGGCUUACCAAGGCGACGAUCAGUAGCCGACCUGAGAGGGUGAUCGGCCACAUUGGAACUGAGACACGGUCCAAACACCUACGGGUGGCAG
rnacentral:rRNA from 1 species